rnacentral:rRNA from 1 species
GACAGAGGGGGCAAGCGUUGCUCGGAAUCACUGGGCGUAAAGGGCGCGUAGGCGGGAUGGCAAGUCGGGCGUGAAAUGCCGGGGCUCAACCCCGGGACUGCGUCCGAUACUUCCGAGCUGGAGGUAGGUAGGGGAGAUCGGAAUUCCUGGUGUAGCGGUGAAAUGCGCAGAUAUCAGGAGGAACACCGGUGGCGAAGGCGGAUCUCUGGGCCUUACCUGACGCUGAGGCGCGAAAGCUAGGGGAGCGAACAGG